CCUACGGGAGGCAGCAGUGAGGAAUAUUGGUCAAUGGGCGGGAGCCUGAACCAGCCAAGUCGCGUGAGGGAAGAAGGUACUGAGUAUUGUAAACCUCUUUUGCCAGGGGAAAAAGGCGGCCACGGGUGGCCGUAAGAGGGUCCCUGGAGAAAAAGCAUCGGCAAACUCCGUGCCAGCAGCCGCGGUAAUACGGAGGAUGCGAGCGUUAUCCGGAUUUAUUGGGGUUCAUGGGUGGCUAGGCGGCGUGUCAAGUCAGCGUUAAAAUGUCGGGGCUCAACCCCGGCCGGCCGUUGAAACCUGCGUGCUCGAGUUGGAGAGAAGUAUGCGGAAUUCGUGGUGUAGCGGUGAAAUGCAUAGAUAUCACGAAGAACCCCGAUUGCGAAGGCAGCAUACCGGCUCCACACUGACGCUGAGGCACGAAAGCGUGGGUAUCGAACAGGAUUAGAUACCCUGGUAGUC
rnacentral:rRNA from 1 species